UUUUUGGCGGGAAAAAACAGAGAAAAU
rnacentral:sRNA from 1 species